AUUAAAAAUUUAUUGCAUAAUAAAUUAUACAAUUCAGUCUUAUUUUUAAAUAGUCUACAGCAAAAAUAUUUUUGGAAAUAUCUUUCUCUUUUAGUAAAACACAUAAGUUAGCAGGCUGACACCAGCUUCAAUUCUAAUAGCUAAAAUCCCUCACAACUAUACAUUUAAACAUAGUCUUUCUUCACAGUUCUCUAAAUGUUCAAGUUGACACCAAUAUCACUUGAUAAAAACAAGACCAUAUAAAUAGUUUCAGAUUUUGCUUAAGGCCUUAGAUUGAACUUAUUAAAAUAUUAGGUGGAAAAUUAUAAAGAUAUAGUCAUUAGCCUUGAACUCAUCGUCUUACACGUGUACACACCAUAAUGACCAAGAAGAGCAUGAAAGUAGAAAGGCAGGCACGAAGGAACACAGUGGGGAAGUCUUAGGCCUGUAUGCUGAGCGGCCGUA
rnacentral:lncRNA from 1 species